UAACACACAGUAUCUCCCUUCAUUAGGAUGCUCCCACAGCAGGAGCAGGGAAACACAUUGUCUUCGGCUCUGAUGAUGAUGAGGAGGCUGACAGUGAUGAUGAGCAGCAGACAACUUCAGAGAUCAAAACGCCAAAGAAGACGCUGUUCCAGGACAGCCAAUCAGAGAACGAGGCACCAGGUCAUAAGAACCCCUCAACAAAAGAAAAGAAGCUGUCGGGAACUCAUCUGUUUGGCGGCAGUGAGGAAGAGGAGGAUGCUGAUGAAGAGGAGGAUGGCAGCAGGUUUGACAUCAGGCCUGAGUUUGAAGGUCGAGCAGGACACAAGCUGAUGGAGCUGCAGUCUCGCUUCGGGAAAGACGAGCGCUUCAAGAUGGACUCUCGCUUCCUGGAGCAGAAUGAGGACAAAGAGGAGGUGUCAG